rnacentral:lncRNA from 1 species
UUUGGAAGAAAUAAACAGGUAUUGUCAACAUAGUUUCAAAAGCAAUUUGAAAAGUUAUAGGUAAAGUAGAAUAAUUCUACACUACCGAAAAAUGUAAAAUGGUUUAAAUUUUGUAUUGCCAAAAGAAUUUCAUAUAUUAUCUAUUGGUCCUUCGAUAUUUAUGAAAUUGAAAUAAUCAAAUACUCAAGAAAAACUAUCAAGAUUAAAAAAUAGUUUCUAGCAGAGAAGCCAGC